rnacentral:lncRNA from 1 species
GACAAUAAUACCCCACUUUUAUUCGCUAUAAUUUGCAAGAAAGAGAAAAUGGUGGAAUUUUUAUUGAAAAACAAAGCAAGUACACAUGCCGUUGAUAGCCUGAGAUGAGAACAGCCCUUAUGCUUGCUGUGCACUAUGACUCACCGGGUAUUGUCAACAUCCUUCUUAAACAAAAUAUUAAUGUCUUUACUCAAGACGUGUGGACAAGAUGCAGAAGAUUACGCUAUUUCUCGCUGUUUGACAGAAUUCAACAACAAAUUUUGGAACAUAAAAAGAUGAUACUUAAAAAUGAAUGUUGGAAGUUCUGAUGAAUCUGCAGUCAGCAUUUUCCAUGAACUGUGUGUGGAUUCAUUGCCUGCAUUAGAUGACGAAGUCUUGAGUGUUGCUGCUAAGCAGUGUGUCCCCGAGAAAGUGUCAGAGCCUUUAUGUGGACCUUCCCAUGGAAAAGGAAAACAGAAUAGUCAAUGGAAAAGGAGAAGGGCCUCCUGCAAAACAUCCUUCCUUGAAGCCUAGCACUGAAAUGGAAGAUCCUGCUGUGAAAGGAGCAGUACAAAGAAAGAAUGUACAGACAUUGAGAGCAGAACAAGCCUUACCAGUGGCUUCAGAGGAAGAGCAACAAAGACGUGAAAGAAGUGAAAAGAAGCAACCACAGGUCAAAGAAGGAAAUAAUACAUACAAAAGUGAAAAAAUACAACUAUCAGAAAAUAUAUGUCAUAGUACAUCUUCUGCUGCUGCUGACAGAUUAACCCAACAAAGAAAGAUUAGGAAAACAAUGCACCUUACAACAAGAAAAUGAAGAAAAAACAAAUGUUAAUAUGCUGUACAAAAAAAAUAGAGAAGAAUUAGAAAGGAAAGAGAAACAAUAUAACAAAGAAGUUGAAGCAAAACAACUUGAACCAACUGUUCAAUCACUAGAGAUGAAACCGAAGACUGCAAGAAAUACUCCAAAUCAGGAUUUUCAUAAUCAUGAAGAAAUGAAAGAUCUGAUGGAUGAAAAUUGCAUUUUGAAGACAGAUAUUGCUAUACUCAGACAGGAAAUAUGCAUAAUGAAAAAUGACAACCUGGAAAAAGAAAAUAAAUAUCUUAAGGACAUUAAAAUUGCUAAAGAAACAAAUGCUGCCCUUGAAAAGUGUAUAAAACUCAAUGAGGAAAUGAUAACAAAAACAGCAUUCCGGUAUCAACAAGAGCUUAAUGAUCUCAAAGCUGAGAAUACAAGGCUCAAUUCUGAACUGUUGAAGGAAAAAGAAAGCAAGAAAAAACUGGAAGCUGAAAUUGAAUCUUAUCAGUCUAGACUGGCUGCUGCUAUAAGUAAACACAGUGAAAAUGUGAAAACAGAAAGAAACCUGAAACUUGCUUUAGAGAGAACACAAGAUGUUUCUGAACAAGUAAAAAUGAGUUCUGAUAUUUCCGAAGUAGAAGAUAAGAAUUAGUUUCUUACUGAACAACUUUCUAAAAUGCAAAUUAAAUUCAAUACCUUAAAAGAUAAAUAAGUUCUGUAAGACAAGAGAUACUCUCAGAAAAAAGUCAUUGGCUUUAGAAACUGUACAAAAUGACCUAAGCCAAACACAGCAGCAAAUAAAGGAAAUGAAAGAGAUGUAUCAAAGUGCAGAAGCUAAAGUCAGUAAAUCCACUGGAAAGUGGAACUGUGUAGAAGAGAGGAUAUGUCAACUCCAACGUGAAAAUCCAUGGCUUGAACAGCAACUAGUUGAUGUUCAUCAGAAAGAGGAUCAUAAAGAGAUAGUAAUUAAUAUCCAAAGAGGCUUUAUUGAGAGUAGAAAGACCUCAUGCUAGAAGAGAAAAAUAAGAAGCUAAUGAAUGAAUAUGAUCAUUUAAAAGAAAGUCUCUUUCAAUAUGAGAGACAGAAAGCAGAACAGGUGGUUGUGAGACAACUUCAACAAGAAGUGGCUGAUUCCCUUAAAAAAUUAACUAUGUUAGAGUCUCCACUGGAAGGUACAUCAUGUUGUCACAUUAAUUUGGAUGAGACACAGGCCUCAAAGAAGAAAUGAAGAAAAAAAUGAAGAAUUAAGGAAACUUUUUAAGUUAGUAUCAUCACUGGAGUAUAAUGUGAAUCAAAUAAGAAAGAAAAAUCAUGAAUUAGAAGAAGAGGCAACUGGAUAUAAGAAAUUCCUGGAAAUGACAAUAAAUAUGUUAAGUGUAUUUGGAAAUGAAGACUUCGAUUGCCAUGGAGACUUAAAAACAGAUCAACUGAAAAUGAAUAUUCUGAUUAAGAAGCUAAAACAUAAGUCAUGCAGUUUGAUGAUCUUACAGUAGAGAAGGAAGCUGUAUCUUCAAAAUGUGUCAAUUUGGCUAAAGACAAUCAAGUUCUUCAACAGGAGUUAUUAUCGAUGAAAAAAGUACAACAGGAAUGUGAAAAACUUGAGGAGGAUAAAAAGAUGUUGGAAGAAGAAAUAUUAAAUCUUAAGACACAUAUGGAAAACAAUAUGGUAGAACUUAGUAAACUACAAGAAUAUAAAUCGGAGCUAGAUGAAAGGGCAAUGCCGGCAGUAGAAAAAUUAGAAGAAAUCCAUUUACAGGUUAGUUUUUUAAAUCAGGUAAGUUUAUCUGUAAUAGCAGUUAAGGAUAAUACGGCUUCACUAAAUAAGAAGGAACUCACACUUAAAGAUGUGGAAUGUAAAUUCUCCAAAAUGAAAACUACUUAUGAAGAGGUUACAACCAAAUUAGAAGAAUAUAAGGAAGCCUUUGCAGCAGCACUGAAAGCUAACAAUUCCAUGUCAAAAAAAUUAACGAAAUCUAAUAAGAAAAUAGCAAUGAUCAGCACCAAGCUCCUUAUGGAGAAAGAGCGGGUGAAAUAUUUUCUCAGCACUCUUCCUACAAGGCGAGGCCCAGAGUCACCUUGUGUUGAAAAUCUUACUAGUAUAGGACUCAACAGAAAAUAUAUUCCCCAAAUGCCCGUAAGAAUUCCUACUUCAAACCCCCAGACCUCAAAUAACUGCAAGAACUACUUGACUGAGGUUCGU